ACUGACUUCAUGAUUGGUAGACAGGUGGAGGGUGGUGCCCCAGGGCAAAACACACCAUGACAAUAUCAACAUCAUUUGAGGGCUGCAACUUCACUUUUAAAUGACAAUAUCCUGGCCAAACUACUGUUGUCAGUGAUAUAAUUAUUUGAAAUUAGAGCUUGUUACAAUAUUGCUAAGUUGUUGGUUAUUAAUUAUAUCUAAGUUAGUGUGAACAGAUAAAAUGUGUGCAUACGUCCUGAGUGUUUCCUUUGUAUUUGAUUGAUUUAAUUGUUUUGAUUGAUUUAAUUGAUCAGUUUAAGUUCUCUCACUUAGUAGAUGGUAUUUAUUUAGCUUUUAUGAUACUUUUUAAAAAACAUUCAAACCUUUCUUUAUUCUUGUUUGUAUGUAUGUGUUUUCAGAAGUCGGACUAUGCCAAUAUUGAGACUGCUGUACGGAACUUGCUGUCUCUCUUAUCAGCAAGUGUCAGUCAAGGGCAGGUUGAGGUUCCAGGCCAGAGCAAAGUUCAGGUUCAGAUUCAGGGCCAGCAUCAAAGCCAGGGAACUUUUCAGGAAUCGGGAGUGAGGCAGGCCAAUGUGCAGCAGGAGAUGUCAAAGUCUUUUCCUGCUCUUUUUCGAAGAGAACGAACCAGUUGCAAACUACGAUUUACUACGCCACUUAAAAUGGUUUCAGCAGCAUCUACAAAGGCCACAAAUAUUCAGUUUU